GAUGAACGCUAGCGGCAGGCUUAACACAUGCAAGUCGUGGGGUAACAGGUGUAGCAAUACAUGCUGACGACCGGCGCACGGGUGAGUAACGCGUAUGCAACCUACCUUUAACUGGGAGAUAGCCCGAGGAAACUCGGAUUAAUACCCCAUAACAUCCUGAAUUCGCAUGUUUUUAGGAUAAAAGCUCCGGCGGUUAGAGAUGGGCAUGCGUGCCAUUAGCUAGUUGGUGAGGUAACGGCUCACCAAGGCUACGAUGGCUAGGGGGCCUGAGAGGGCAAACCCCCACACUGGUACUGAGACACGGACCAGACUCCUACGGGAGGCAG
rnacentral:rRNA from 1 species